GACAACGUGCCAGAGUGGUUAAUGGGUAUGACUCGAACGCUCCCGCUACUAGAUAUCAUAUGGCUUCGGCCGCACAGGUUCGAAUCCUGUCGUUGUCG